rnacentral:rRNA from 1 species
GUUAUUAAUAUUCGAACCGGGCCCGGGGGAAUACCGCAGCUGUGCUAAUACCGCAUACGAUCUAUGGAUGAAGCGGGGGAUCGCAAGACCUCGCGCGAUUGGAGCGCCGAUAUCAGAUACUAUUGUGGGGUAAGGCCACCAAGGGCGACGAUCUGUACUGGUCUGAGAGACGACCAGCCACACUGAACUGAAACACGGUCCAAACUCCUACGGGAGGCACAGUGGGGAAUUUUGGACAAUGGGCGCAAGCCCUGAUCCAGCAAUGCCGCGUGCAGGACGAAGGCCUUCGGGUUGUAAACUGCUUUUGUACGGAGCGAAACGGCUUUCUCUAAUACAGGGGGCUAAUGACGGUACCGUAAGAAUAAAGCACCGGCUAACUAACGUGCCAGCAGCCGCGGUAAUACGUAGGUGCGAGCGUUAAUCGGAGUUACUGGGCGUAAAGCGUGCCGCAGCGGUUUUGUAAAGACAGAUGUGAAAUCCCCGGGCUCAAACCUGGGACCUGCAUUUGUGACUGCAAAGCUGGGAGUGCGGCAAAGGGGGGAUGGAAUUCCGCGUUGUAGCCAGUUGGAAAUGCGUAAAAUAUGCCGGAGGAACACCGGA